rfam:Arenibacter nanhaiticus strain CGMCC 1.8863 genome assembly, contig: Ga0066783_180
AGGAGCCGGAUGAGGCGAGAGUCUCACGUCCGGAUCUGGGAGAGGCCUCGGGGGAAGUUCCCGAGGCCUACUCGAC